rnacentral:lncRNA from 1 species
GGGUCUUGCUCCGUCACCGAGUCUGGAGUGCAGUGGUAUGAUUAUGGCUUACUUGAACUUCUGGGCUCAAGCAAUCCUCCCACCUCAGCCUCCAGAAUAGCUGGGACUAUAAGUGUGGAUCAUCAACCCUGGCUAAUUUUUUGAUUUUUUAUAGAGACGAGGUCUCACCAUGUUGCCCAGACAAGUCUUUAACUCCUGGGCUCAAGCAAUCCUCCCACCUCAGCCUCCUAAAGUGCCGGGAUUACAGGCAUGAGCCACUGUGCCUGACUUCCAGAUUUGCAUCUUAAAGGGCUGUUCCAUUGAAUGUCUGUUCUAACACGUGCCAUUUGGGAUCCCUUGGAAUCUUCAUGUACAGAACUGGUUGCUGCCUCGUUGAGUCGGUGGGGACAGAAUAGCUCCUGGUUGACAGCAUGGGUUGUGCAGAAGGACGGAUCCUGCAGACAUCAAUAUCUGGCUUUGAGUGGCACAAAGAAAUAAAGGAAUGUGGAUUCAGACCUCACUGGGAUGCUUGGCAAUUCUAAUUCUACCCCAGACUGCAAAUGGACACACAACUGUUGUGACUUUUGUUGAAGAGGAGAAGGAUGGCACAGAAGCUGGAUUCAGAAGCACACAGGUCUGGGGAUGCAGGCUUCGGCCAGCCUGAUGCAAGGAAAGACUGCCAUCUCGUGGUCAGCUCAAUCCUGGCACCUUGGUGAGGGACCAGGCUGCAGAAAACCAGGCUUGGGGAGGAAACGGUGCUGCAAACUGGAUUUCUGCCGGACAGUGUGGAUGCCCUUAGAAAACACCCAGAAAAGAGCUGAGUGCCCCCCAAGACUUGCCCUGAAUUCUUUCAUGUGCAAUAUCCGAAAACCCUCUCUUGGGGCCUGGAUCAGGACCCCUUUCCUAUAACAUCUUUCUGGCGACAACAAAGGGACAAUGGUGUGGAAUCCCCCUUCCCAAAUGCUACUUUUAGGCUGUUUCCCAUAUAAGGUUCAUGACCCCCAGUGAGGAUGAAACUGCCUGCAAGGUUUGUCUUCUCUCCUGUUCACUGGUUACUCAGCCAGGCUGAUUCAUGGGCUUCUCAAAGGAGCUUGUUUAUCAGAAGCUUGUCUAAGACACCACGUCUUCCAGAAAAUCUCACCUGAGUCACCAACAGAUUCCUCUAAGAGUCUGUAAGCCACUCCUGACCAGCAGGAAACCCCAACAGAGGCAAAGAAUAGGAAAUUAAAUAUUUCGUCAAGAAAAAAUGAGAGGCUGGGUGCGGUGGCUCAUGCCUAUAUCCCAGCACUUUAGGAGGCCUAAGCGGGCGGAUCAUUUGAGGUCAGGAGUUUGAGACCAGCCCGGCCAACAUGGUGAAACCCUGUCUCUACUAAAAAUACAAAAACAAUUAGCUGGGCAUGGUGGUGGGUGCUUGUAAUCCCAGCUACUGGGGGAGGCUGAGGCGGGAGAAUCGCUGAAACCCAGGAGACAGAAGUUGCUGUGAGCCGAGACCACACCACUGCACUCCAGCCUGGGUGAGAGUGAGACUGUCUCAAAAAAAAAAAAAAAAAAAAAAAAAAAGCAAGAAAGCUCCCAUUUAGAUCACUCGGACAAAAGAUUUCUUUUUGUGCCAAAAUGUUCCACUAGGCUUCCAGUUUUUACCACAUAACUUGACAGUCAUGCAAGACUUAAGUGUAUUUUCAGCUAUCCUUUCUCUUUCAUUUAUUUCUGUUUAAUAAGCUCUGUCCAUUGAUUCUAGUUAGUACAUUAUAUAUCUUUUUAAUCACUUACCUGCAGUGAGCAUCUUUCCAUGUUGGUAAAUACCGGUGCUACUACUGUUACUACUGAGUACUUAUUCCAUGUCAAAUCCUCUGCCAAGCAUUUUCAAGCAUUGUCUCAUUGCCUUCUUGCCACAACCCUAUGAAGAGGCCGUGACUGUCCUCAUCCAAUGGAGGAGGAAGCUAAGGCUGAGAGCAAUUAACACAGCUGUGAGUGAACAGGUAGGAUUUAAAGCCAGGCAGUAUGAUUCCGGAGCCUACGCUUUUAAUCACUGUUAUUUUACUCUCCUCCACUCCCCAAAUAUACUGCAUUUUUUUUGUGUGAUUGUAUUGUAUUAUUCUGUUCUAGAUGUACUAUGAUUGAUUUCGUCCAUGCUGUAAUUACACUUCGGUUGGUUUUAGUUUUCACUACUACAAAUGGUGUUGCAACGAACGUCUUUGUGGGCAAAUCUUUACAGGUCAUGAAUGACCCUUUCCUUAGGACACAUAUUGCCAAGCUGAUCUCCACAAAGGUAGUACACGCCCAUCAUAUUGUACAAAAGUAUUCUUUGCCCUCCACCCUUGACACUGGGUUGCAUCUAUUUUUUAAUUAUUGCUGUUAGGAUAGAAGAACAAGGCUGACACAUUGUUGUUUCAGUUUGUAAGCUAGAACACUUCAUUGCACAUUAGCUGUAUUCCUUAGGUGUAUUUCUUGUUCAUGUCCUUUGCCCUCUGAGGUUUGUCUCUUUAUCACAGAUUUGAGAACUUUUUGUAUAUGUCU